AACGAACGCUGGCGGCAGGCUUAACACAUGCAAGUCGAGCGCCCCGCAAGGGGAGCGGCAGACGGGUGAGUAACGCGUGGGAACCUACCCUUUUCUACGGAAUAACGCAUGGAAACGUGUGCUAAUACCGUAUACGCCCGAUGGGGUAAAGAUUUAUCGGAGAAGGAUGGGCCCGCGUUGGAUUAGCUAGUUGGUGGGGUAAAGGCCUACAAAGGCGACGAUCCAUAGCUGGUCUGAGAGGAUGAUCAGCCACAUUGGGACUGAGACACGGCCCAAACUCAUACGGGAGGCAGCAGUGGGGAAUAUUGGACAAUGGGCGCAAGCCUGAUCCAGCCAUGCCGCGUGAGUGAUGAAGGCCCUAGGGUUGUAAAGCUCUUUCACCGGAGAAGAUAAUGACGGUAUCCGGAGAAGAAGCCCCGGCUAACUUCGUGCCAGCCGCCGCGGUAA
rnacentral:rRNA from 1 species